rnacentral:lncRNA from 1 species
UUUUUUUUUUUCCUGUUUUUUUUCCUGGGUUUUUUUUCCUGUUUUUUUUUUUUUCCCCGUUUUUUUUCCCCGUUUUUUUCCCUGUUUUUUCCCCGGUUUUUUCCCUGUUUUUCUCACCCCAGUUCUCUCCUUACAGACACAGGGUCUCUUGUGUACAGAGCUGGCCUGAGCUGGAGAAUUCCUGCAGCAGCGUCAUGGAAAACACCACUUGCCACAGCACAGAACGAGCUCCUGUAAGGCAGCUGAACAACCUGCUGUGCAGCCUUCCUCCACAGGGACUCAUGGGCAUAUUUUGAAAACCUCUUUACUCCAAGCCCCCACAAAAAAAGGAACCAAACAUGCUUUGGAAUAAGAGAAAGAAGAAAAGAGGCGCCACCAAGGAUCAGGACAGCGCCUGUGGGGCGGUGUGGGAGCCACAAAGGGAAGGAAAGCAGAGGCUCCUGCAGCAGCAGCAGAGCCCAGCUGGCCCCUGUCCCUCCCGUGGAGCUCCACAGGAGCUCUGAGCCACGUGAGGCAGCCAGCCCAGGCUUUGGCAAGGCAGGAUGCUGUGCUGGGGUUAUUAGCAGGUUCCCAUAGCACUGCCCUCCCCAGGCAUCCUCCCCUGCCCACGCUGGCCUGCCUGGCACAGGCUGCUGGGCAUUCACCAGGAGCUCCGUCCCUAUUUCAGCCCCCAGCGCAAACACCACCGUGAAUCUUUGAGUAAACAGGCAGGCACUGGAGGGGAGGGAAGGAUUAAAAACUCCGAAUAAUGACUGAAAUGUCAGACAUUUAUUAUUAAGUCAGUCCUGAUGUUGACAGCUGAACAUUCAAUAUUAAAAGCAUCCUUGAUCAUAAAAGCCAAAGGCAAACCUGAUUCUUAAAUAUCCCAGUUGUUCUUUUUUGACCUAGUUUUUGAUGUCUUAAGGAGGAAAUAAAAUUUUGGAAAAUAUUUACA